CAAUAGCAACUAAUUUGCCUGUUGUUGCUGCAAACCUCAUACAUGUAAACUGCGCCGACUCUAUUUGUACACGUUCUUUUUAAAAUCCUCAAUCAGUGAGGAUUAUUUUUUUAAAAUCUAUAUGUGUAUAUAUAAUAACUGAGCUUCUCAGUAAACAUUCGGCGACGUGCUGUGUCCUGUUAGCCCGUAGAGCUUCAUGCUAGCCGCUAGCCGUCAGUGCAGCGCUUCUGACUUUCUUCAGGUUAUUUAUAAAGCAGAACACAACAUGAGUGAGAACGACAGCGCAAACCAUGAGGCCACUGCUAGUAAAGAAGGCCAGAUGUUUCUCUCCGGGAACAAAAGCACAAGUGUAAACAGUUCCCCUCCGCAGGGAGACUCUGUGUUUGACAUGGACGACCCGGAGGAGGAAGAGGAGAGCGACGCGCUGGACACAGCCGAGGCGAGAGAGAGCGCGCCGAGCCCGGCCGAGCCAUGCGACGAGAGCGCGCCUAAGCGCUGCGUUUACGACGGCUGCUCCGAGACUAGCGCUCAGGGUGCCAAGCAGAGGAAACCGUGGAUGUGUAAAAAACACCGCAACAAAAUGUAUAAGGACAAGUACAAGAAGAAGAAGAGCGACCAGGCCAUGGCGUCUGGGAAAUUAGAAGAAGGCUCAGAGGAGAGGCCUGUGUCUGUGACAAAGCAGCGGCUCGGCGCUAUUGGAGAGCGACCUACAAGACCUUCACUCAUAGAGCAAGUGUUAAACCAAAAGAGGCUGAAUGUCUGAUGAGGUUGGAGAAUACAUGGCAAGGGAUCUGAGACCAUUCCUCCAUACAGAAUCUCUCCAGAUCCUUCAAAUUUCGAGCUCCACGCUGGUGGACUCUCCUCUUCAGUUCACCCCACAGGUUUUCUAUGGGUUUCAAGUCAGGGGACUGGGAUGUCCGUGGCAGGAUCUUGAUUUUGUGUCUCUCUUGCGGAGUCCAGAGGUCAUCAGUUUUCUCCAGCAGCAACAGCGUCUUCUCACCAUGCAGACACAAUCUCAGAGACAUGACCAGCAAAGCUACUGAGCACCGUGUGUGCUGACAUUUUACUGGGGAUUGUACACACCGUACAAGUACUUUAAGAAGAGCUUAUUAAGCUUAAGAAAGCAUGAAGGAUUUGGACUUGAUGUUACACUGUAGUCUCCACUGUGGUGUGAGGUCGCACAUUUCAUCACAGCCUGGAUGAGCUAUCAUGAUUUUUAGUAGCAGUUCUACUGUAUAUAAAAUAAUUUUUAAGCUACCACUUGGGCCUUUAUAACAUGCUGUUAUUUUAUGCAUUAUAAUGCAUUUGUCAUUUUAAAACAAUUAUGUGAAAGCAGCUACAUAGUAUCACUAGUAGGUGAUUCUAGUGAUUUUUGUCUGUUCAUAGAAAUGAAAUUUUUUUUAACCAUU